rnacentral:rRNA from 1 species
AUACGGAGGUGGUUAGCGUUGUUCGGAAUUACUGGGCGUAAAGCGCACGUAGGCGGAUUGGAAAGUUGGGGGUGAAAUCCCAGGGCUCAACCCUGGAACUGCCUCCAAAACUAACAGUCUAGAGUUCGAGAGAGGUGAGUGGAAUUCCAAGUGUAGAGGUGAAAUUCGUAGAUAUUUGGAGGAACACCAGUGGCGAAGGCGGCUCACUGGCUCGAUACUGACGCUGAGGUGCGAAAGCGUGGGGAGCAAACAGGAUUAGAAACCCUAGUAGUCC